rnacentral:rRNA from 1 species
CCUAUGGGGGGCUGCAGUGGGGAAUAUUGGACAAUGGGGGGAACCCUGAUCCAGCCAUGCCGCGUGUGUGAAGAAGGCCCUCGGGUUGUAAAGCACUUUCAGUGAGGAAGAACGCCUGGUGGUUAAUACCCAUCAGGAAAGACAUCACUCACAGAAGAAGCACCGGCUAACUCCGUGCCAGCAGCCGCGGUAAUACGGAGGGUGCGAGCGUUAAUCGGAAUUACUGGGCGUAAAGCGCGCGUAGGUGGCUUGAUAAGCCGGUUGUGAAAGCCCCGGGCUCAACCUGGGAACGGCAUCCGGAACUGUCAAGCUAGAGUGCAGGAGAGGAAGGUAGAAUUCCCGGUGUAGCGGUGAAAUGCGUAGAGAUCGGGAGGAAUACCAGUGGCGAAGGCGGCCUUCUGGCCUGACACUGACACUGAGGUGCGAAAGCGUGGGUAGCAAACAGGAUUAGAUACCCCUGUAGUC